GACGAACGCUGGCGGCGUGCUUAACACAUGCAAGUCGAACGGAAAGGCCCUGAUUUUGUGGGGUGCUCGAGUGGCGAAGGGGGGAGUAACACGUGAGUAACAUGUACUUGUCUGAGGGAUAUCUUCAGGAAACAGGGGCUCUUACAGCGUAGGAGCUCUUGCAGCGUGGUGGGGGUUGGAAAGAUUCGGCGGUUGGGGCUGGACUAGCGGCUUAUCAGCUUGAUGGUGGGGUAGUGGCUUACCAAGUCUUAGAAGGGUAGCCGGCCUGGGAGGGUGACCGGCGACAAUGCGCCUGCGAUACGGCCCAGACUGCAACGGGACGCAGCGGUGGAGAGUAUUGCAGAGUAGGCGGGAGCCAGAUACGAAGACGCCGCGUGCGGGAAGACGGCCUUCGGGUUGUGAACCACUUUCUCCUUUGCCGAAGCGUGAGUGACGGUAACGGGUAAAGAAGCACCGGCUAACUACGUG
rnacentral:rRNA from 1 species